rnacentral:tRNA from 1 species
CAAUUUUUAUUUUAUUGAAUAUACUAUUUGGGUUAGUAAGGUUUAAAAUUGA